GGGUAUAGUUCAGUGGUAAAGCAUGUGCUUAGCAUGCACAAGGUCCUGGGUUCAACCCCCCGUACCUCCA
rnacentral:tRNA from 1 species